CACAAAGAUUCCCAUUCAUUGUCCGCGGUUUAGUCGUGGCGAAUAGGAAGCAGAGAAACCCAACAAAGAUAAAAAUAAAAAGAAGAGUAAAUAAAAGUCGGGAUUAGAUUUGCCGAGGGACAUUCCCAUGGUUAUUGCUCGCGUGUAAUUGGAAGCAGAAGUGGCAUCUUGACUUGUACCUAAGAAAAAGACAGACCUGUUUGAGCCAGUGUUUAUGUUUGUAAAAAUUCAGUAUAAUACUAGAAUGAUAGAAGGUGUAGCUAUGGCAUGCUCUUCAUACAUUGUCCGUUAUGUUAGAGUCCAGGGACCUCUGAGAAGGGCAGAAAACUACGAGCUGAGCAUUAACAUCAAUGAAAUUAUCCAUAGUUCAGUCAAAAAGACUUUGAAAUUGGGUUUUUGGCA